CACGGACCGCACGAACGUUAUUCGGUAUCACUGGGCUUAAAGGUGCGUAGGCGGCUUUGCAAGUUGGGUGUGAAAGCCCUCGGCUCAACCGAGGAAUUGCGCUCAAUACUGCCGAGCUUGAGAGAGACAGAGGUAAGCGGAACUAAUGGUGGAGCGGUGAAAUGCGUUGAUAUCAUUAGGAACACCGGUGGCGAAGGCGGCUUACUGGGUCUUUCUGACGCUGA
rnacentral:rRNA from 1 species